rfam:Caldisalinibacter kiritimatiensis strain L21-TH-D2 NODE_74, whole genome shotgun sequence.
CGUGAGGUGGAAUCUGAAGGAAGUCGGCGGCAAAGCAUUGAACCGAGGUACACGAAUCACAUUUGAGGCUUAGAUAAGUGGAUAAGGUUGCUAAACAAACUAAAGUCCAAUAACUACCCGAAACUUACUAAGUAAAUGUGGCGGUUACAUGAUGCGAAAGUAAGCGCU